CAGACCGACCAAUCAGCGUCCGCGUCCGGAAGAGCCCGCUUGAUUUGAACUUAGCCUGGCGGAAGUGUUGAAGAGAAAGGGGGCGGGGCCCGGCGGCUGGCACUGGGAAAUACAGUAAUCACAAAUAGUACGAGAGGGGAUUUAUGGAAAUUGGAGACGUUAUUAUCGGCUUUAUUUAUACCAGGACCGUCUAACGCCAGUCGUCGGAUCACUUUACCAUGGCUGCUCCUGUGGCCGCUGAAGAAGGGAACGUCUCUGUGGUGGUCCGUGUUCGCCCCCCUAACUCACGAGAACAAGAAGGGAACCAGUACUCUGUGGUGCAGGUAAUGGACCAUAACAUUCUCAUCUUUGACCCUGAUGAGCCCGAUACGUCCGGAGUGUUCUCAAACCUGAGAGCUCACGAAGGAACAAAGCGCAAAGGGAAGGAUCUGAAAUUCAUAUUUGACCAAGUCUUUGGGGAACAAAGCAGCCAACAAGAUGUGUUUGAACACACAACCAAGCAGAUCCUUGAUGGGGUCUUAAAUGGCUACAACUGUUCAGUUUUUGCCUAUGGAGCUACCGGAGCAGGGAAGACGCACACAAUGUUGGGAAGUGAAGCCGACCCUGGAGUCAUGUAUCUCACUAUGGUGGAACUAUAUCAGCGAAUAGAAGCCAUCAAGGAGGAGAAGUCAUGUGAGGUGCUCGUCUCCUACCUGGAGGUGUACAAUGAACAGAUCCAGGACCUGCUGGAACCCAAAGGCUCUUUGGCAAUCAGAGAAGAUCCUCAGAAAGGGGUUGUAGUUCAGGGACUGUCCUUCCAUCAGCCCAAAUCUGCAAAGCAGCUACUGCAAAUGUUGGCCAAUGGCAACCUAAACCGGACCCAGCAUCCAACAGACGCUAAUGCAACUUCAUCCCGAUCACAUGCUGUUUUCCAGAUUUAUGUCAAGCAGCAAGAUCGUACGGCCAGCAUCAGCCAGGACAUUCGCAUGGCUAAAAUGAGCCUUAUUGAUCUGGCCGGAUCAGAACGAGCGUCAUCCACAAACGCCAAAGGCGAGCGCCUCAGAGAGGGCGCCAACAUCAAUCGUUCCCUGUUGGCUCUUAUAAAUGUCAUUAACGCGCUGGCUGAUGCCAAGAAUAAGAAGGCUCACAUCCCUUAUAGGGACAGUAAACUAACCCGCCUUCUGAAAGACUCCAUUGGAGGCAACUGUAGGACGGUGAUGAUUGCAGCCAUCAGCCCUUCAUGUCUAAGUUAUGACGACACCUACAACACGCUCAAAUAUGCCAACCGGGCCAAAGAGAUAAAACUGUCGCUGAAGAGCAAUGUAAUCAAUUUGGACUGUCAUAUCAGCAAAUACGCCGCCGUGUGUGAGGAGCUAAAAGCCGAGGUAGCUGAACUGAAAGCUAAACUGCGUUCCUAUGAAAUGAAGGAAUCCAAUGAAGACCCUACUGAAGCCUCAUCUCUGUGCCAAAGCCCUGUACAGGGAAAAUCGCCCAGUUUGGAAGAGCCUUUAGAUACAUCGAGCCCAGAGCAAGGUUUUAAGAAUCGUCUGCAAUCCCUGAGCAAGUUGUCUUCAGAGCAUUUACAUCAUAAGCGUCACUCCAAGAGGAAGAAAGAGAAUCACGAUUCUGGGUCUGAAAGCUUUGAAAGCGGAGAGACCGAUCUUAGUAUCCUGCUGGCUCCUCACAACCAUAGCACAGAAAAGCUGGUCACUGUGCUCCUCAAUCUUGUACGCAAACAAUAUGCCAUUCUGAAGACAGCCAAACUGCAGACCCCCGAAAUUGAUGCCGAGCUGCAAGCUGUGGAGUGUUUAGUCGCGAGGGAUCUGGGAGUCACUGAUACAGCACAGAACAAUACAGAGCCAAAAUCUGAUGUGUCUGAAGAGGUCAGCAAUAAAUUCCUCAAAGACGAGGACCGUCAUCUGCCAUCAAUGGAGGAUAUAAUUCCUGAUAUUAAAGAUGAGGAGCCAGUUGUCCAGGCACCUCCGGCCAGAAAGAGGCAGCCGGCUAAACGCUGCCGCCGGGACCUUCAUCCAGAUAUCAGCCCCUCCCUCCGCAGCCCAGUGGUGCCAGUAAAAAGAAGACGACAAGCUGAAACAAACACCCCAUCCAAAUCCAGCCAAGUCCCUCCCAGCACCCCAGAGGUUCAAGUGAAAAGACCGCGAAAAUCUGCAAUCCCCAGCCGACCAAACCUCCGGUCAAGUGCAAAUCUGUUUCCUAGUAAAACCACUGACCUCAAUAGCACUAGUCAGUCUAAACCGUCCCGGUGUACACCAAAGCAGGCCUCACAAGCCUUACCUAGCAUGCUUUCUCAGACAGUCACCAAAGGCCGGGUACCGCUGGGCACAUCUGCCCUCCAGAACAGCGUACCAGCACCGACUUUCAAUGUCAAGGACAUGAACACCACAUUUGACUUGUCUGAAGAAGGCUGGAUGAUGUCAGAGUUGGACAAAACUGUCAAUUUUGGACCUGCCGAAUUCUCUGGCUGGGAAAAUAUUGGCGUGCCACGGAUUGACUGCACAUUUGUAAAAAGCUCUGAUAUUCCUGUGUUUACCACUAAUGGCCUCUCAGUGAAAGGCCCCAAGUCUGCUUCAUGUGCUUCAAGUAUAAAGUCGUACUCUCAGAGAAGACGGCGAUCUAUGAGUGCAUCUUCUUCACGUGCGAGCAGUGGGCAAAUAAGCCAGAGUCGUAUUGGCAGAGUACAGCUGAGCACAGCCAAGCCGGUACAGCGGCCUCCGACUAUAGCAGAGAAAAUAUCCUGCAGCCCACGGGGACAAAGUACCAAGAGGACAGGAAAAGGGACUGUGGCCUUUGGCCGGUCAUUAGGGGGCGCUACAAUGUCUCGAUUAAUGCAGCUUGCAUCUACCAGGACGUAAGGACCCCGUGCUGUUCAGAUGAAAGACUUCUUACCUCAAAUGUCUCAUACACACUCCUCUGCCUCUUAGAACUUCCUGACCCGGACUUGAAUGCUUGAAACAGGUAUCAGCAGACUGUUCCGGAGCGUAGAAGUCCCACACGUGGUUUGGUUCUGUUAUGGCCUCCAGUGGUGAGAUGAAGACCAUGAUCAUAAAAUAAUGCCAUCUGGACCCUCGGCCAACCAAGCGUCUACCUCAUGAACUGCUAUCCAUUCAUAACCCAAGUGUGAUUUCUGUUUUAUCAAAGCCAUGUUGAAAGGCCCUGGUACGUGUGGGACUGUUAAAUGACUCCGCGUGUUGCUCUACUUCUCUGGAAGUCUAGCCCCUUACUCCGUAACGCAAAACACAU